AAAUUGAAGAGUUUGAUCAUGGCUCAGAUUGAACGCUGGCGGCAGGCCUAACACAUGCAAGUCGAACGGUAACAGGAAGCAGCUUGCUGCUUCGCUGACAAGUGGCGGACGGGUGAGUAAUGUCUGGGAAACUGCCUGAUGGAGGGGGAUAACUACUGGAAACGGUGGCUAAUACCGCAUGACGUCGCAAGACCAAAGAGGGGGACCUUCGGGCCUCUUGCCAUCAGAUGUGCCCAGAUGGGAUUAGCUUGUUGGUGAGGUAACGGCUCACCA
rnacentral:rRNA from 1 species